rnacentral:misc_RNA from 1 species
UUUUGGAACACAACAAAAAUCCGCGAAAUUUUCGCGAGAUCGAAGAUGCGACGCGUUACGCGGACGGCAAUAAUCCGCUCUGCGGCGACGCGCUCAGGGUUUAUGUCGAGAUGGAAGACGACAAGGUGAAAGACGUCGCUUUCAAGGGUUCGGGCUGCGCGAUCUCGAAAGCGUCC